UAGGGAAUCUUCCGCAAUGGACGCAAGUCUGACGGAGCAACGCCGCGUGAGUGAAGAAGGAUUUCGGUUCGUAAAACUCUGUUGUUAGAGAAGAACAGCGCAUAGAGUAACUGUUAUGCGUGUGACGGUAUCUAACCAGAAAGCCACGGCUAACUACGUGCCAGCAGCCGCGGUAAUACGUAGGUGGCAAGCGUUGUCCGGAUUUAUUGGGCGUAAAGCGAGCGCAGGCGGUCAAUUAAGUCUGAUGUGAAAGCCCCCGGCUCAACCGGGGAGGGUCAUUGGAAACUGGUUGAAUUGAGUGCAGAAGAGGAGAGUGGAAUUCCAUGUGUAGCGGUGUAAUGCGUAGAUAUAUGGAGGAACACCAGUGGCGAAGGCGACUCUCUGGUCUGUAACUGACGCGGAGGUUCGAAAGCGUGGGUAGCAAACAGG
rnacentral:rRNA from 1 species